CCUACGGGGGGCAGCAGUGAGGAAUAUUGGUCAAUGGACGAGAGUCUGAACCAGCCAAGUAGCGUGAAGGAUGACUUCCCUAUGGGUUGUAAACUUCUUUUAUAUGGGAAUAAUAUGUUCCACGUGUGGGAUUUUGUAUGUACCAUAUGAAUACGGAUCGGCUAACUCCGUGCCAGCAGCCGCGGUAAGACGGAGGAUCCGAGCGUUAUCCGGAUUUAUUGGGUGUAAAGGGAGCGUAGGUGGAUUGUUAAGUCAGUUGUGAAAGUUUGCGGCUCAACCGUAAAAUUGCAGUUGAAACUGGCAGUCUGGAGUACAGUAGAGGUGGGCGGAAUUCGUGGUGUAGCGGUGAAAUGCUUAGAUAUCACGAAGAACUCCGAUGGCGAAGGCAGCUCACUGGACUGCAACUGACACUGAGGCUCGAAAGUGUGGGUAUCAAACAGGAUUAGAUACCCUGGUAGUC
rnacentral:rRNA from 1 species